AAAAAAAAUAAAUAAAAAUGAAAAAAAGAGGGGGGGGGGAACAUUUUUGUAAGCUUUUUGCAAAAUGAAAGGGUUUCCUUUGAUAUUCCCUGUUAUGUUUGGGAGGGGAGAGCAAGUGAUUAAUCCAUGAAAACUUGAAGAAUGCACUUAUCUAGCAAUUUGGGUGGAGGAGAUUAAAACUGUAUUUUCAAAUGUUAUUUUUUUUAUUUUUUUUUUGCACAGAUACAAUUUUUUUUUUAUAAAAAAAAAGUGUAAAAAAAGCAAACAAAAAAAAGCAACCCUCCACCCACCCUGUAAUUUUUUUAUUUUUCUUUACCCCUUCAUCUCUUCACACUAGUUUUUUUAGUGGCUUACAAUCUCUGGUUUGAAAUCCUUAAACCUGUGAAGGAUAUAAUACUGCAGGGGUCAGGAUCCCAAGCAUUACCGAACGCCAGGACUGUCUGACACCACUUACCAAUUCCUGCUCCAAUGACAGGAAGAGCUGUGCGUAUUUUUGUUUUAGUUAUGGGAUUUCGAACCUUUUUUUCCCUUUUUAAAAGGACUAGUCCAAGGUACCUGUACUCUUAUCCUGCUAUCCCGGAACAGUUAUUUGUGUGUUUAAUUUUGAAUCCUGCUUUUGUUUACAAUUGUCCUCAUGGGGGACAUGUCGCUAAUGAACCUGGGCAAAGGAAUUCUUUUGACUUGUGGUGGGGAGAAUAAAUGGAGCUUUGCCAGAAGUGUGCUCACAACCUACCCACUUGGGUAUUUUGUUGGCUGUGAUGGUGUAUGGUGCAGUUGCCUUAAUGUUGACUUCAGAGCACUACAUCACCCACACCACAAAAGUCCUUGGACAGUGUGGGACUAUGUCAUAGGUUUCUGCCCACUUAUACCGUUUGGGACAGUCGCUGUAUUCCUCACUCUUCAAGAGCUUUCUCAGCACUUGAUUAGGAGAACUAUCCUAAAAAACAAGCCACAGACCAGCUUAUCUGAAGAAAGUGAUCUCACAAUUUGUGGGCUCCGUCUGAAAUCUUUGGUCUGUCAAAGGACUUGGACGUCACAGUUGAACAUGAUUAAUUUGAAGCCUGAGACUGACGUCCCCAAGAGUAGCAGUGUUUAAUGGUCCUCCAUAGGGCCAAAGAGACUUGUGUUGUGGAUCCAUGCAGAAAACCUCACCAUCUCCUUCAAAUGAUGUGUGAUCUAUGAACAUUGUUAUGUGUAAAUACAAAUGCAACAGGAAAAACUCUAACUCGCAAAAAUGGGGCUGUUUCAUGCCUACAAAAGCUUGUUCUAAAUUUGUUUAGUUUUUUACUUUAUUUUACUCUUUUGCUGUGGGUUUGAGUUUCUUCUCCGCACGAAUGUAUUAGGGCAGGAGCUGGCAUCCAGCAUUUAAACUGCCCCCCAAAGCCCAGUGUAUGUCUGCACAGAGCCCCAUGUCACUUGGGUGUAGGGUGUUUAUAUGGGGCUGCCAGGAACAAUGAAUCCCUGCACUCACUGUGUGUAAAUAAUGGGGUGUGUACUUAGUAUGGCUUACAGGUGUAUUGUGUUGAAUGUAACGCAAGCAUACCCCCAUGCUGUCUGCUGAGCUCUAUCUGUAUAUAAAUAUAUAUAUAUAGUGUGUGUGUGUGUGUGUAUAGCUAUCGCCAUGUAGAGAGAUACACUCACUUAACUGGAAGUGUACAAUAGUCAGUAGUAAAAUACUCUCAAGCACAGCUUACUCCAUUACAAUUGCCUUGAACCCUUACCAGCCUCAACAGCAGAAGGGGGUGGCAGAGAUUUUUGGGAGUUGUAGUCCUGUAACCACUGGGGUGUGCAUUUGAUGGUGGCUGCUAUGAGGCUUGGAACAGACAGGUAAAAGGUUUUGCUUUUUUUAGCAUACACAAGUCAUGCUAGGUCAGUCUGCGGUAAGCUUGCACUGUCUGGAAUGAACGCUUUGUCCUGCAGUUCGGGAUGUAUGUAUGCAGAUACAUGGAUAUGUACCCAUGUAUGUACUGACACACUAGGUAACUGUAUACAUGAGCUGAUCCGCACACGCCUACAUAGAACUAUACAAACAUGCCUCUGUCAACUGUGGGUAUUUGUGCAUACCAAGGUUUCUGGCCGUAAAGUCUAUACACACGUACAAAAGGUGCCCAAACUAAAUCUAAUGUGAUCCACAUCAAUUCUCACCAGUUAUAUUGGGUGAAAAGGCCUGCAUGUUUGUAUAUACAGAUACAUACACAUUUACAUCAGUCUGUGUGUAUUUACACACAUUUAUAUAAUUUGUUCGGCUGUGUAUACAUGUACUCGCAUACCAUUGGGUAUGUUCCAUCAGUGUGUGUCUAUAGACCUACACAUGUUAACAUGCCUUUUUUUUUGCCUGUUAUUUUCUCUAUUUUGUGAUAAUUUUGCCUUAUUUUUCAGUAUUAAAAAAUUGAAGUGAACUAAAUCUGAGAAUUUUUAUCUAUCCAUUUAGGUUUAAUCUGCAACAGAUUUAGCAAUAAGAGUGAAUAAUGCAGAUUUUGUCAAUUCCUGUUCUGGAGAGUGUAAUUAUAGAAUGCAGAAGUUUUAGGACCUAUUCAAGGAAUAUAAAUGUUCGUAGUAUCAUUGCUGUAAACACUGCCGUCCUGCCUUCUGUCCUACAGGACGUAGAGCUCCCACUGGGAGCUUCUGAUAAAACCCAGCAGCCAAUCAGAUCCUUUCUGUCCUGGGAGCUUAACAGCAGCUUCUUGUUGCAAUUUGAUUAUUUUCUUAAUAUUCCUUGAUGUAUUGUAUAACUUUCAAAAAGGUUUUUUUGUUUCCUUUACACUUUAGUUGGACAGCUGCCAUUUGUGUCGGCUUAGUUCUCUUUUCAAAUAACCUUAUCCUUGUUGGGUUAGAGCAAUGACCAUUUGUUCUUGUAUUACACUUUCUUCAAAUUACUGUUUCCCACCAAGUUUGUUUGAUUCCCAAAGGUAUUUGAAUAUUUGUAAUAUCAAUCACCCUUGCCUACUAUAAAUAAAAACUCUGGUCUAUCUGCUUUGUAAAAAGAAAUUAUAUGAAUUAACUUGUUAGUUGUGUUUUUGUUUUUUUGUUUUGUUAAAUAUAAAUUGCAAGAUCUAUCCAAUCAGAAGAGGCGUCUUGACCCUAUAUCUUACAGAAAUCCCAGUGUGAAAUGGUCUUAUCCCACGAGAGGGG
rnacentral:lncRNA from 1 species